UAUUGCACGAGCUUGCGAGUGCAAUAUAUGUUCUACGAGGGACAAUAUUCCCAAAUAUUCAUGCAAUAACCCUUUUAUUGUAUAGCAAUAUAAUAUUUGAGAGUAAAAAUUGGUUUAAACUAAGAUUUGUCUUGAUGACGUCAUGAAUUUUGAAGAUUUAUUGCACUAGUGCAAUAUUAGAAUUUAUUGCACGCUAACUUUUGGUUACGUUCUGUGGGAAAUAUUAUAUUGCUAUGCAAUAAUAGAAUUUAUUGCACGCUAACUUUUG
rnacentral:lncRNA from 1 species